CCAAACCUCUUCCACUAUCUUAUAUAUAGACUAAAGCCCCGUAAUUCUCUUGCUUUUUAACAGUGUUACCAGAUCAAACAAUCCAAAGCAGGCAGUAAUCACAGGCAGGCGAACUUAUGACUUGGACCACACUCGCGAUUGCCAUCCACUCACAGAAUUGGUAACAGUGUCUGCCCGCUGUGCAUUUCCCCCUUAAGCUGAUGUCCUCUUGAGAACUGAGAAUGUCACUCAGUUCUUACCUCCAUAGAGUUUGGAUUCCACUCAUAACAGCUGAUGAUGAGACCUGUGACCUCUAAGUUUGACCUGGACCAAUGAAUACCACCCCACAUCAAUUUAAGUCCUUGUCUUCAGUGAUACUAAUUAUUACAAGAUGGCCAAAGAUGGCAAACAGAAAUACGUUUUGUAAUGAAUAUACCUGUACUACCUAUUACGUUUUGAUACAUACUUAUGUACAGUCAAAAUCUAAUUCACUUGUAAUUACAUUAUAUUGUUAAUGCAUCAUAUAUAUUUGUAUCAAUAUGUCUUUAAGCCCUGCCCACACUAGCGGGCACUGCCCAACGGGCAAACAGUGUUCCCGUAACCCGUUCCACUAUACUGACCGACAUAGUAUGGAGCCAGAAGGAUGCAAUUGUCUGGUAACACUGCUUCAGAAGCGAGAGAAAACCUAAACAGCUGGAAGUACCGGACGGGCAUGCCCGCUAGUGUGGACAGGCCAUAACUUCAAGCCAUUCUUGGAAUUUAGCCAGCAUUAUUUAAAAAAUUAGGUCAAGAUGAUACGAUCUCUCGUCUUAGCUCCUACCUAUACGAGAAAACAAUUAUAUCGGUUCAAUGCAUAGAAUUAAUUAACAUUACUCAUCUGCCUCUAACAUAUUUUUGAAUUUUUUUUUCAUCUUAAAGUAAAGACAUUGUUGUUCUCGAGUAACUUGAACUCGAGUCAUUUUGAUAUCUCAUUCUUUUAUCAUUCUUGUUAUUUCAUUCUCAUGAAUAUAUUAGCAUAUAUUGCAAUGACAUGAAAAUAACACCAAGAUGUGUAUCCUGUUAUGAAGAUUAACUUUAAAAAGAUGAUCAUGAAAUUUGUUGUUACUUCUGAGGUUUCUGUAAUAAAAAACUAUUGAGA